AACCGCGAACACGUUUCCAAACAAGCGUCCGCGUCGCGGCGAUGGGGAUCGGGGAUCCCCCCCUCUCCCCCGCCCGGCGCGGGCAACACAAAACUUUCCGGCGCGGAAUGCGCCAAGGACUACUCGAACGGAUCGUCCGCGCCCUCGCGGGGCGGCUUCCGCCUCGCGGGCGCGGUUCGUCUGAAAAAACGUUAACCUUAACGACUCUCGGCAACGGAUAUCUAGGCUCUCGCAUCGAUGAAGAACGUAGCGAAAUGCGAUACUUGGUGUGAAUUGCAGAAUCCCGUGAACCAUCGAGUUUUUGAACGCAAGUUGCGCCCGAAGCCAUUAGGCCGAGGGCACGCUUGCCUGGGCGUCACGCAUCGUCGCCACCCCCAUCCCGCAUCGCGGGGAGGGGCGGCGUAGUUUGGCCCCCCGUGUAAAGCGGCCGGCCUAAAUGCGAGUCCCCUGCUCCCGGGACGUCACGACUUGUGGUGGUAUUUGAGAAUCUCCUCUCAACUCGAUCGGAGUCGCGGACGACACCGGGGCGACGGGGGCUCAACCGAUUGACCCGCGAGCCUCUCUCCAAGCGAGUUAGGCCCUCGACCAUGACCCCAGGUCAAGCGGGGCUA
rnacentral:rRNA from 1 species